rnacentral:rRNA from 1 species
AUUGAACGCUGGCGGCAUGCCUACACAUGCAAGUCGAACGGUAACAGGCCGCAAGGUGCUGACGAGUGGCGAACGGGUGAGUAAUGCAUCGGAACGUGCCCAGUCGUGGGGGAUAACGCAGCGAAAGCUGCGCUAAUACCGCAUACGAUCUAUGGAUGAAAGCGGGGGACCGUAAGGCCUCGCGCGAUUGGAGCGGCCGAUGUCAGAUUAGGUAGUUGGUGGGGUAAAGGCUCACCAAGCCAACGAUCUGUAGCUGGUCUGAGAGGACGACCAGCCACACUGGGACUGAGACACGGCCCAGACUCCUACGGGAGGCAGCAGUGGGGAAUUUUGGACAAUGGGCGCAAGCCUGAUCCAGCAAUGCCGCGUGCAGGAAGAAGGCCUUCGGGUUGUAAACUGCUUUUGUACGGAACGAAACGGUCCUGGUUAAUACCUGGGGCUAAUGACGGUACCGUAAGAAUAAGCACCGGCUAACUACGUGCCAGCCGCCGCGGUAAAAC